rnacentral:rRNA from 1 species
GACGAACGCUGGCGGCGUGCCUAACACAUGCAAGUCGAACGGAAAGGCCCUGCUUUUGUGGGGUGCUCGAGUGGCGAACGGGUGAGUAACACGUGAGUAACCUGCCCCUGACUGUGUGAUAACUUCAGGAAACUGGGGCGCAUAUCGGAUAGGAGCUCCUGCUGCAUGGUGGGGGUUGGUAAGUUUCGGUCGUUGUGGAUGUACUCGCGGCUUAUCAGCUUGUUGGUGGGGUAGUGGCUGACCAAGGCUUUGACGGGUAGCCGGCCUGAGAGGGUGGCCGGCGACCUUGGUCCUGAGGUAAGGCGCAGACUAGUACGUGCGGCAGAAGUGGGGAGUCUUACACAGUGGGGCGACGCCAGAUACGGAAACGCCCCGUGCGGAAUGCCCGCCUUCGGGUUAUAAACCGCUUUGGAAUAUAAUGAGCCGUGAGUGACGGUACUGGGUAAAGAAGCACCGGCUAACUACGUG